AUUGAACGCUGGCGGCAUGCCUUACACAUGCAAGUCGAACGGCAGCACGAGAGCUUGCUCUUGGUGGCGAGUGGCGAACGGGUGAGUAAUAUAUCGGAACGUACCCUAGAGUGGGGGAUAACGCAGCGAAAGUUGCGCUAAUACCGCAUACGAUCUACGGAUGAAAGUGGGGGAUCGCAAGACCUCAUGCUCAUGGAGCGGCCGAUAUCUGAUUAGCUAGUUGGUGGGGUAAAAGCCUACCAAGGCUUCGAUCAGUAGCUGGUCUGAGAGGACGACCCAGCCACACUGGAACUGAGACACGGUCCAGACUCCUACGGGAGGCAGCAGUGGGGAAUUUUGGACAAUGGGCGAAAGCUGGAUCCAGCAAUGCCGCGUGAGUUAAGAAGGCCUUCGGGUUGUAAAGCUCUUUUGUCAGGGAAGAAACGGUGAGCUCUAAUACAGUUUGCUAAUGACGGUACCUGAAGAAUAAGCACCGGCUAACUACGUGC
rnacentral:rRNA from 1 species